AAGGGAGACCUAAUUCCGGUAGGAGACGAAAAAAAAGUAGUCCCAACCAAGAAUCAAUCCCAAAAGGUCGGAACGAGGUAUGAGGCUUUCAAACUAGGUUCUGGGUUCAUAAAAGACCUGAAUCAGGAACAAGGGCUAUUAGCUCAGGUGGUUAGAGCGCACCCCUGAUAAGGGUGAGGUCCCUGGUUCGAGUCCAGGAUGGCCCACCUGCACAGGUGGCAAAAACAAGAGAAGCUCCGAAUCAGCACCUUAUCUUAUAUACAUAUAUAAGAGAGAAUGCUGGCUCUGAGUAAAGAGUCCAGAGGAACCUUGAAAACUGCAUAGAGCUAGGUGAAAGAGCCAAAAAAGAAGACCGCAA
rnacentral:tRNA from 1 species